rnacentral:rRNA from 1 species
CCUACGGGAGACAGCAGUGGGGAAUAUUGCGCAAUGGGGGAAACCCUGAUGCAGCGACGCCGCGUGAGUGAAGAAGGAUUUCGGAAUGUAAAGCUCUAUCAGCAGGGAAGAACAUGACGGUAACUAACUAAGAAUCCCCUGACAACAACGUGCCAGCAGCCGCGGUAUUACGUAGGGGGCAAGCGUGAUGCGGAUUUAUGGGGUGUAACGUGAGCGGAGACGACAGGGCAAGUCUGAUGUGAAAGCCCUCGGUCCAACUGGGGGACAACCUUGGAAACUGGCAGGCUAGAGUGCUGGAGAGGAGAGCGGAAUUCCAUGUGUAGCGGUGAAAUGCGUAGAUAUAUGGAGGAACACCAGUGGCGAAGGCGGCUUUCUGGACAGUAACUGACGCUGAGGCUCGAAAGCGUGGGGAGCAAACAGGAUUAGAUACCCGGGUAGUC